rnacentral:rRNA from 1 species
GAUGAACGCUGGCGGCGUGCCUAAUACAUGCAAGUCGAGCGAACGGACGAGAAGCUUGCUUCUCUGAUGUUAGCGGCGGACGGGUGGGUAACACGUGGAUAACCUACCUAUAAGACUGGGAUAACUUCGGGAAACCGUAGCUAAUACCGGAUAAUAUUUUGAACCGCAUGGUUCAAAAGUGAAAGACGGUCUUGCUGUCACUUAUAGAUGGAUCCGAGCUGCAUUAGCUAGUUGGUAAGGUAACGGCUUACCAAGGCAACGAUGCAUAGCCGACCUGAGAGGGUGAUCGGCCACACUGGAACUGAGACACGGUCCAGACUCCUACGGGAGGCAGCAGUAGGGAAUCUUCCGCAAUGGGCGAAAGCCUGACGGAGCAACGCCGCGUGAGUGAUGAAGGUCUUCGGAUCGUAAAACUCUGUUAUUAGGGAAGAACAUAUGUGUAAGUAACUGUGCACAUCUUGACGGUACCUAAUCAGAAAGCCACGGCUAACUACGUG